UACUAAAGGUGCAAGCGUUAAUCGGAAUUACUGGGCGUAAAGCGCGCGUAGGUGGUUUGUCAAGUUGGAUGUGAAAGCCCAGGGCUCAACCUUGGAACAGCGUCCAAAACUGGCUCACUAGAGUACGAGAGAGGUUAGUGGAAUUUCCAGUGUAGCGGUGAAAUGCGUAGAGAUUGGAAGGAACAUCAGUGGCGAAGGCG
rnacentral:rRNA from 1 species